UUUGUAGGAGUUUCCUCUGGUCGCAUAGCAACUCGCAGGUGACUCACAUUUUUAGCAUUUGACACCACUGAUGCACAAAAUGAUGCAUAUCUCCUUGAAAGGGCGCCGAGUUUCACAGACUCCCCAAAGUCACUGGCGAAAAUCAAAGAUUAAAAAAGAAUAAAUCAGCUGAGUGUAUAUGGUUGUUAGGCAGACACGUUUAAGCCAAUAGGCUGCUCUGUGUCUGUUAACUACUGCUUAGUCAUCAACCCUGCUGAACAUUCACCGACUGUGAUGCUCUUUUUCCAUCUCAGACCUGCUCUGUAUUUCAGAGCCUUGAAUGAGCUUACUGUUUGACUGCCAGCUUCUCCUCAGAGAGACAGACACAGAAAAAGUGUGUGUGUGUGUGUGUGUGUGUGUGUGUGUGUGAGAGAGAGAGAGAGAGAGAGAGAGAGAGAGAGAAAGAAAGAGAGAGAAAAGGGGAGAUUGGGUCUGCUGGCGUGGCUCGGAGGCAGUCACACAGCCCAGGCAAGGAUUUUAAGGAUAUGACCUUCCCGGUUUGAUGCUGCCAGGUUUCGGGGACAUGACCACAGCCUCCGCAACCUUUACAAGAAAAAGGAGGGACUGAAUGGAAGAAAAGCACAUUUGUCUUCUGCUCAUUCAAACCAAUGAGACGCUGUUUUGUGUUAUCCUGUCACAAGAUCAACCAUGUCAGCUUGGAUUACAAGUUCAGCUGUCUGUCAUAAGACUGUGGACAGCCGUACUUUUAACUACUUCAUGAAGCAGCGCGGCAGUUUCACGGAGGGACCGGCCUGAGAGAGACGGAGAGUCAGACCGUGAGAGAAACUAGACAACUCUGUUGCCGACCCAGCUGCUCCUGUCCAACCCUCCAUUCAGCAUGAGCAGCUAACCAGCCCUGGAGGGCAGCGGCACAUGGAGACAGCAGCGAGACAGAUGCACACCACAUCUGCUCAAAGUUUGCAAAGGAGACUGAGGACGGCAGGAAGUGCUGCUGCUGGUGGUUUCAGAGCCUCGGGUAAGAACAAAUGUUGAUGACUGUUUCCUUUCAGUGCCUCUGGACAUUGCAGUGACCUGCCUGAGCAGAUCAAUCAGGAAACCAGGAGCAAAAUACACUGUUUUAUGGAUUUGGGGUGCUAUCUGAGCAGCUCACCUAUUUCAGGGAUUAAGUUCCUUAAUGAAUCACCUGCCCUUCAUUGGUGUCAGUCAUGUACUUGCUUCCUUCCCUCUGGUGAGUACAUAUUUUAAAUACUCUUCUGUUAAAGCCCCUAUGUGUACAUUUUUAAGGUGAUUAUAAUAUCUUACAAAUCACUCACUUUUAUUCUAUUCAUUUUCAGGUUCCCAAGGUUGGAUCACUGGGUUGGGAGUGGGUCAUAUAUCACCAUGCAAUGUUUGACACAAACACUGAUGAGCGCCAAAGUCAGAAACGUUCAUCAUCUAGAGCUUUUCACAAGGUAAAUGAUCA